AGUCAGGUCUGGUUUGGGAGGAGCUUCAGGCUCAGAAGACUGUGAGAAAACUCUGCAGUGUUUGGCCAGACAGGCUUCCUGGGUGGGGCUGACUGGUUGCAGGAGGAGGACACUCCAGCAACCAACCUGACACCACAGCCCAGAGGUUGUUUACUUACUUCUGUCUGCAGCUGCCUGAUAAGCACCAUGAAGAGGCUGCUCUGUUCCCUGCUUGGACUGCUGUGCACCCAGGUUUUCUGGGUGAAAGGUCAGCAAGUGAAGCAGAGUCCUGUGUCCUUGGUGCUGCAGGAGGGAGAGAGCACAGAGCUGCAGUGCAACUUUUCCACCAGUGCAAAGCAAAUACAGUGGUUUUACCAAAGUCCUGGGGGACACCUCAUCAGCCUGUUCUUCAAUCCUUCUGGAACAAAGCAGAAUGGAAGACUGAAGUCCACAACAGUCACUCAAGAACGCCGCAGCUCUUUGUACAUUUCCUCCUCUCAGACCACGGACUCAGGCACUUAUUUCUGUGCCGUGGAUCCACAGUACUCCCUACACACCUGCAGCCAGCACAUAAAACUUCAGCUGGCUGGCUGGUUGGGUGUGGCCCACUCAGCUACUAGAAAGACAUCAGAAAGUUGCAACAGACCUGCUCUUUUAAUGUCCCUUUCCUGUUUUGGUAGAGUUUCAACCUCAGGUAAAUUUUGGCCCCAAAGGUUCAGGAAUUUGGUUAAUCUCCAAUUCUCAAUAUCACUCCCUCCUAGAGCAUAAAUGUUCAUCUUAGAAAUAAAAUAGAAGCUGAUGAGAGGACAUAAUUAAUGUGAUUAUUUAAGCUGCAAUGUGUAAAACUCACAAAGGAUGAAGAGAAAAGGGAAAGAAUGGCAAAGGCAGGCUUCCAGAUAACCCUGCUGUGGACAGGGUCAGGGUUAGUGAAGAGAAAACAAUCUGCAGCAACAGCAAGAGCAUCAAGCCAUGGGAGAUACAGAAUGUGCAGAGAGCUGGGUGCUCUAGCUUCCUUUCGGUUGCUGUGCUAAAACUCUCUGAGAAAAAGCAGCUUAGAAGGUAGAAGACUUUGUUUAGCUUUCACUUCAUAGUCAUAGUCCAUCAUUGGUGGCAAUCAAAACAGGAACUCAACCAGAAGAUUCAAAGAGGAACCCUGAGGAGACUGUUACUAGUUCAGUCACAGGCUCACGCUUAACUAGCUUCCUAAUAUGAUCCAGGCCACUUUUCCCAUGGAACGGUGCUGCCCACAGUGACCUAGUCUCCAUUCAAUUCAGUAGCUUAAAAAAUGAUGCUUGGAGUUUUAGUGCCAGUUUAUUGAAUUUAAGGGAGCAUUGGGAAUAUUGAAGGCAUUGAAUCUUCUAGUCAUUAUUUAAAUUUACCUUUUCAUAUAUUUAACUUGACUCAGUCUGAUCCAUUGCCAUUUUUUGUCCUGUUGUUGUUUGUUUUCUUAAAAAUAGAUUCAUUUCACAUAAUAUAUUCUAAUCACUGUUUCCUGCCCUACAUCUUCCAAAUUCUCUCUACCUCCCCAGCCAUAUAAUUACACACCUUUCUUUUUAUUUUAAGGCAACAAGCAAGUUAAUAAGAAAACCAGAAUAGAACAAACAGAAAAAAACCAAAAAGCAUGAGAAGCACAUAAACAUAUAUGCAAAGAUACAUGCACACAUAAAAUCCAUAAAAACACAAAUUUUAAAUCCAUAAUGUAUAAACAAGCAAUGAAUAUGUUAAAUAAUGCCCAGAUAAAACAUUGUGAAAAAAGUCUCUAAAAACACAAUUGAGUUCAUUUAAGUUGGCCAUUUACAGCUGAUCAUGAGGCCUGCCUUUAAGUGUGGUUGUAUAUACAGAAAAAUGUUGGUGUGCUACAUCCACGGCUGUCUCGCCAGUAUAGCAGAAAUGCUGACUAGGCAGGCAAGUGUUGCCAGAGGAUUGGGAUCCGCACUCCACAGAGAUGAGUCCUGGGCUGCCCCUUGGCAAUCAGUUGUGGUGUAAUGCCACCUGAGUCGCCAUUUGUACUGACUCGACCUGCCUGUCCUU